CUCUUGACCACCCACCUCCUAAAAUAAUUUGCUGGGAAAACAGCCUGUUUGAAGGUCACUGGGGGAUAAACGUCCUCUUUUGUAGCUGUGUUUGUGUGGCUACUCAACUUUGUUGUGUGUUAAAAUUCUGGUGUAUCAAAUUCCCAUGCUGUCUCUGCAAAAUAACAUUUUGAACAGUUUAGGUUCUGUGGGGGAAAUAUAAUUUGUUGUUUUUAAUGGAUCAAAUGUCAAAUGUCAUGUUUAUCAGUCUGACAAUUUAGUGAAUAUAGUGCUCAAACUCCAUGCAGACAAGAUUAUUUUGCUUUACCUGUCAUGCAUUGUGUGAUGAAGUAAGCCUAUACCAAGAAAACUAUUUCAGCCUGCAACUAAACUAGUGGUUGUGAUGAAUCCAUUAUCCCUGAGACAACUACCUCUGUGAAGGGGGUUAGAGAGACUCCAGAGCAACAUCCGUUCACAAAUUACUCACAAGACGAGAACAGGAAGUGGUGGUUUCCAUGGAGACAGGUUUCAAUACUUGCUGCCACAUUUCCACAGGAGGUCUGUAGUUUACACUGCACAGCAAUGAUGCUGGUUACAGGUCUGUAGUUUACACUGCACAGCAAUGAUGCUGGUUACAGGAGGUCUGUAGUUUGCACUGCACAGCAAUGAUGCUGGUUAUAGGUCUGUAGUUUGCACUGCACAGCAAUUAACCUGGUUAGAAGAGGACUGUAGUUUCCAGUGCACAGCAAUGAUGCUGGUUACAGGAGGUCUGUAGUUUCCACUGCACAGCAAUGAUGCUGGUUACAGGAGGUCUGUAGUUUGCACUGCACAGCAAUGAGCCUGGUUAGAAGAGGUCUGUAGUUUCCACUGCACAGCAAUGAGCCUGGUUAGAAGAGGUCUGUAGUUUACACUGCACAGCAAUGAUGCUGGAUACAGGAGGUCUGUAGUUUACAGUGUAACUCUCCCAAGCACCACACGUUCUUCCUUAUUAGACUCCAGACAUCUAGCGUCUACCACAGAGGGAAAUAUCUGAGACACAC
rnacentral:lncRNA from 13 species